rnacentral:rRNA from 1 species
GCGCCAUUAGAGUUUGGCCAUGGCUCAGGAUGAACGCUAGCGACAGGCUUAACACAUGCAAGUCGAGGGGCAGCACGAUGUAGCAAUACAUUGGUGGCGACCGGCGCACGGGUGAGUAACGCGUAUGCAACCUACCUAUCAGAGGGGAAUAACCCGGCGAAAGUCGGACUAAUACCGCAUAAAACAGGGGUUCCACAUGGAAAUAUUUGUUAAAGAAUUAUCGCUGAUAGAUGGGCAUGCGUUCCAUUAGAUAGUUGGUGAGGUAACGGCUCACCAAGUCCACGAUGGAUAGGGGUUCUGAGAGGAAGGUCCCCCACACUGGUACUGAGACACGGACCAGACUCCUACGGGAGGCAGCAGUGAGGAAUAUUGGUCAAUGGGCGAGAGCCUGAACCAGCCAAGUCGCGUGAAGGAUGAAGGAUCUAUGGUUUGUAAACUUCUUUUAUAUGGGAAUAAAGUGAGGAACGUGUUCCUUUUUGUAUGUACCAUAUGAAUAGGUGUUGGCUAACUCCGUGCCAGCAGCCGCGGUAAUACGGAGGAUGCGAGCGUUAUCCGGAUUUAUUGGGUUUAAAGGGUGCGUAGGUGGUUAAUUAAGUCAGCGGUGAAAGUUUGUGGCUCAACCAUAAAAUUGCCGUUGAAACUGGUUGACUUGAGUAUAUUUGAGGUAGGCGGAAUGCGUGGUGUAGCGGUGAAAUGCAUAGAUAUCACGCAGAACUCCGAUUGCGAAGGCAGCUUACUAAACUAUAACUGACACUGAAGCACGAAAGCGUGGGGAUCAAACAGGAUUAGAUACCCUGGUAGUCCACGCAGUCCUCGAUGAUUACUAGCUGUUUGCGAUACACAGUAAGCGGCACAGCGAAAGCGUUAAGUAAUCCACCUGGGGAGUACGCCGGCAACGGUGAAACUCAAAGGAAUUGACGGGGGCCCGCACAAGCGGAGGAACAUGUGGUUUAAUUCGAUGAUACGCGAGGAACCUUACCCGGGUUUGAACGCAUAUUGACAGCUCUGGAAACAGAGUCUCUAGUAAUAGCAAUUUGCGAGGUGCUGCAUGGUUGUCGUCAGCUCGUGCCGUGAGGUGUCGGCUUAAGUGCCAUAACGAGCGCAACCCUUAUCACUAGUUACUAACAGGUCAUGCUGAGGACUCUAGUGAGACUGCCAGCGUAAGCUGUGAGGAAGGUGGGGAUGACGUCAAAUCAGCACGGCCCUUACAUCCGGGGCGACACACGUGUUACAAUGGUGGGGACAAAGGGCAGCUACCGUGUGAGCGGAUGCUAAUCUCCAAACCCCAUCUCAGUUCGGAUCGAAGUCUGCAACCCGACUUCGUGAAGCUGGAUUCGCUAGUAAUCGCGCAUCAGCCAUGGCGCGGUGAAUACGUUCCCGGGCCUUGUACACACCGCCCGUCAAGCCAUGGGAGUUGGGGGUACCUAAAGUCCGUAACCGCAAGGAUCGGCCUAGGGUAAAACCGAUGACUGGGGCUAAGUCGUACAGGUAACCGUAAAGUUAAUCUCCCUACGCUUUCGUGCUUCACUGUCACAUAAAGUCGAGUAAACUACACUUCGAUUAUCGGAGCUUCUGCGUGAUAUCUAUGCAUUUCACGCUACACACGCAUUCGUCUACUCAAAUAAUACUC